rnacentral:rRNA from 1 species
UAGGGAAUCUUCCGCAAUGGACGCAAGUCUGACGGAGCAACGCCGCGUGAGUGAAGAAGGAUUUCGGUUCGUAAAACUCUGUUGUUAGAGAAGAACAGCGCAUAGAGUAACUGUUAUGCGUGUGACGGUAUCUAACCAGAAAGCCACGGCUAACUACGUGCCAGCAGCCGCGGUAAUACGUAGGUGGCAAGCGUUGUCCGGAUUUAUUGGGCGUAAAGCGAGCGCAGGCGGUCAAUUAAGUCUGAUGUGAAAGCCCCCGGCUCAACCGGGGAGGGUCAUUGGAAACUGGUUGACUUGAGCGCAGAAGAGGAGAGUGGAAUUCCAUGUGUAGCGGUGAAAUGCGUAGAUAUAUGGAGGAACACCAGUGGCGAAGGCGACUCUCUGGUCUGUAACUGACGCUGAGGUUCGAAAGCGUGGGUAGCAAACAGG